rnacentral:tRNA from 1 species
GCGGCAAUAGCUCAGUGGUAGAGCCCCCGCUUCGCGUGCGGGGAGACUUGGGAUCGAUUACCGGCUGCCUCC